CUCCGUUUAUUAAAAAAAAAACGGAGUGCAUAUCAUCUACUACUCCAGUUAUCAAAAAAAAUGGAGCCUUAAAAUUUUUUGUUGGCCCGCCUAAAAUACUCUAAAUUUCCACCUCACUCUCGCCCUCGCCUUCAAUCUCUCACAUCGAAGAACAAUUUAGGGUUUUUCUCUGCAAAUUCUCUCUCAUCAAAUUCUGGAAGAUCUACGCUCUUUCACCGUCUCUUUCACUUCAAUUUAUAGCGCAUCUGAUUUCGUUGCUUGGAAUCCAUGCCUCCAUGCGUUACGGCGGCCAAUCGACGGUGUUCUAGAUCUUAACAACGACCAUUUCUACGAUCUUCUUGAAACAAUUUCGUAAGAAGCUUCCAAUAAUGGUGACUACUGCUCUAAUUUCACAUAAAUGUCAUUUUAUUGCAGGGCAGUAGCAGACUACAUUUCAAAGGAUCUUCCUUACUAACUAUCAGCAGCAUAGCAACACGGUACUUUACCAACAAAAAUCUAUUGAGGCAUAGCAGCAUAGUAAUAUGGUAGCAGAACCAGAAGAAAGCUUGGGUUACUUGUGAUUGCUGACGAAGUGUAUGAACACAUCACUUUUGGUACCAUUCCCUUUGAUUGAAUGGGAGAAUUUGCAUCGAUUGUGCCUGUGCUUACAGUGGGAUCUCUUUCUAAGAGGUGGCUUCUUCCUGGCUGGAGACUUGGCUGGCUUGUCACAAAUGAUCCAAGUGGCUUCCUACAAAAAUCUCAGUUUCUGAGGGUACAGAUGUGUUGGACGGAUUGGAGUAAGAAGCUCAUGGAUGCUGUUUAUAAUGCUGUAGUGGAACAUGAUUAGUUUCUUUCAGCACUGCUUGGUAGAAUUUUAGUGCAAGGAAUAGAAAUGGUUGAUUCCUUUAUAAAUCUUGAUGUAUAUUUGCUACAUAGUGAAUAAUUUGUUUUAUUAAUGUAUUUUUAACUAACGUGCAAUGAGUAUUAGUACUUAUAUCUACAACUCUUAAAAAGAGAGAAGUUCACCGUUAGACCUAUUAUGAACAGUAACGCAUUUCAAUUUCCAAUUUUGAACAGUGCCAAUUUUGAACAAUAGCAA